rnacentral:rRNA from 1 species
GAUGAACGCUGGCGGCGUGCCUAAUACAUGCAAGUCGAGCGAACUGAUUAGAAGCUUGCUUCUAUGACGUUAGCGGCGGACGGGUGAGUAACACGUGGGCAACCUGCCUGUAAGACUGGGAUAACUUCGGGAAACCGAAGCUAAUACCGGAUAGGAUCUUCUCCUUCAUGGGAGAUGAUUGAAAGAUGGUUUCGGCUAUCACUUACAGAUGGGCCCGCGGUGCAUUAGCUAGUUGGUGAGGUAACGGCUCACAAAGGCAACGAUGCAUAGCCGACCUGAGUGGGUGAUCGGCCACACUGGGACUGAGACACUGCCCAGACUCCUACGGGAGGCAGCAGUAGGGAAUCUUCCGCAAUGGACGAAAGUCUGACGGAGCAACGCCGCGUGAGUGAUGAAGGCUUUCGGGUCGUAAAACUCUGUUGUUAGGGAAGAACAAGUACAAGAGUAACUGCUUGUGCCUUGACGGUACCUAACCAGAAAGCCACGGCUAACUACGUGCCAGCCGCCGCCGUAAAAC